rnacentral:rRNA from 1 species
UAGGGAAUCUUCGGCAAUGGACGAAAGUCUGACCGAGCAACGCCGCGUGAGAGAAGAAGGCUUUCGGAUCGUAAAACUCUGUUGUUAGAGAAGAACAAGGACGUUAGUAACUGAACGUCCCCUGACGGUAUCUAACCAGAAAGCCACGGCUAACUACGUGCCAGCAGCCGCGGUAAUACGUAGGUGGCAAGCGUUGUCCGGAUUUAUUGGGCGUAAAGCGAGCGCAGGCGGUUUCUUAAGUCUGAUGUGAAAGCCCCCGGCUCAACCGGGGAGGGUCAUUGGAAACUGGGAGACUUGAGUGCAGAAGAGGAGAGUGGAAUUCCAUGUGUGGCGGUGAAAUGCGUAGAUAUAUGGAGGAACACCAGUGGCGAAGGCGGCUCUCUGGUCUGUAACUGACGCUGAGGCUCGAAAGCGUGGGGAGCAAACAGG